GAGACUGAGAUCCCUCGGCUCAGCUCCAACCAGAGGUGAAGGAAAAGGCCUAAAACCCAGCUUUGUUCUCUACAGAUCCAUCUUCUGUCGUGCUUAUCAGCACCGCUGGUCCCACUUCCACCCAGUUCUCCAGUCUACCUGCAGACAAACGAUUUCACACUCACCUGCUCCUCGGCCUGCCCUCCUGCCCGUCAUCUCAAUUGUGGAUAUAUCUUUCCUCUAGACCCCUUGGAACUUGGAUCCAUCUCACCUGCAUACUCCGCCAUCCCCUGGACACUCUCACAGCUACCCCUCCUAUGCCAGCCGGCCUGCAUCUACAAAAGUUCCUGCCCAUGCUCUCCUUGUGUUAUGAGUGCCAGAACCUUUCUCCAUCCCCUGGUUUCCCACGACACCUGUUCAUAGUUUCUGUUAAUAUACGUGCUCUUGUUUAAGUUGAUUACUCCUGUAAAUAAAUCUUGUAAAUAGUUUGUGCAAUUAAGUCUGCCCUUGGGU